AGGGUUUGAUCAUGGCUCAGAUUGAACGCUGGCGGCAGGCCUAACACAUGCAAGUCGAACGGUAACAGGAAGUGCUUGCACUUCGCUGACGAGUGGCGGACGGGUGAGUAAUGCUUGGGAACUUGCCUUUGCGAGGGGGAUAACAGUUGGAAACGACUGCUAAUACCGCAUAAUGUCUACGGACCAAACGGGGCUUAGGCUUCGGCGCAAAGAGAGGCCCAAGUGAGAUUAGCUAGUUGGUAAGGUAAAGGCUUACCAAGGCAACGAUCUCUAGCUGUUCUGAGAGGAAGAUCAGCCACACUGGAACUGAGACACGGUCCAGACUCCUACGGGAGGCAGCAGUGGGGAAUAUUGCACAAUGGGGGAAACCCUGAUGCAGCCAUGCCGCGUGUGUGAAGAAGGCCUUCGGGUUGUAAAGCACUUUCAGUUGUGAGGAAAAGUUAGUAGUUAAUACCUGCUAGCCGUGACGUUAACAACAGAAGAAGCACCGGCUAACUCCGUGCCAGCAGCCGCGGUAAUACGGAGGGUGCGAGCGUUAAUCGGAAUUACUGGGCGUAAAGCGCACGCAGGCGGUUUGUUAAGCUAGAUGUGAAAGCCCCGGGCUCAACCUG
rnacentral:rRNA from 1 species